CUAUAUGUACCAAAGCACCCUGAACAUACCUGAUCUUGUCUUAGAAGCUAAGAAGGGUCAGGCCUGGCCAGUACUUGGAACGGAGACCAUAACUGUUGUAUGGU
rnacentral:rRNA from 1 species